rnacentral:rRNA from 1 species
UACGGGGGGGCAAGCGUUGUUCGGAAUUACUGGGCGUAAAGGGCUCGUAGGCGGCCAACUAAGUCAGACGUGAAAUCCCUCGGCUUAACCGGGGAACUGCGUCUGAUACUGGAUGGCUUGAGUUCGGGAGAGGGAUGUGGAAUUCCAGGUGUAGCGGUGAAAUGCGUAGAUAUCUGGAGGAACACCGGUGGCGAAGGCGGCAUCCUGGACCGACACUGACGCUGAGGAGCGAAAGCCAGGGGAGCAAACGG